UACAGAGGGUGCUAGCGUUGUUCGGAAUCAUUGGGCGUAAAGGGCGCGUAGGCGGCCUUCUAAGUCGAACGUGAAAUCCCCGGGCUCAACCCGGGAACUGCGUCCGAUACUGGAAGGCUUGAAUCCGGGAGAGGGAUGCGGAAUUCCAGGUGUAGCGGUGAAAUGCGUAGAUAUCUGGAGGAACACCGGUGGCGAAGGCGGCAUCCUGGACCGGCAUUGACGCUGAGGCGCGAAAGCCAGGGGAGCAAACGGG
rnacentral:rRNA from 1 species